AAUGAACGCUGGCGGCAGGCCUAACACAUGCAAGUCGAACGAGUGGCGGAUGGGUGGGUAAUGUCUGGGAAACUGCUUGAUGGAGGGGGUUAAUUACGGGAACCGGUAGCUAAUACUGCAAACCAUCGGCUGUGCCCAGAGGGGAUUAGCGUGUUGGUGGGGUAACGGCUAACCUAGGCGACGAUCCCUAGCUGGUCUGAGAGGCUGACCAGCCACACUGGAACGGAGACGCGGGCCUGAGGCAUACGGGAGGCACCAGUGGGGAAUGUGGGACAAUGGGGGCAAGCCUGAUGCAGCCAUGCAGCGUGAAAUAAGAAGGCCUUCGGGUUGUAAGGUACUUUCGGCGGUGAGGCGUUACCCGCAGAAGAAGCACCGGCUAACUACGUGCCAGCAGCCGCGGUAAUAC
rnacentral:rRNA from 1 species